GCUCCCAUGGCGUAGUGGUCACCGCGCUCGCCUUGCACGCGGGAGACCCGGGUUCGAUUCCCGGCGAGGUCA
rfam:Asian citrus Psyllid, Diaphorina citri - Florida Strain, whole genome shotgun sequence.